rnacentral:rRNA from 1 species
UACGUAGGGUGCAAGCGUUGUCCGGAAUUAUUGGGCGUAAAGAGCUCGUAGGCGGUUUGUCGCGUCUGCUGUGAAAACCCGAGGCUCAAUCUCGGGCCUGCAGUGGGUACGGGCAGACUAGAGUGCGGUAGGGGAGAUUGGAAUUCCUGGUGUAGCGGUGGAAUGCGCAGAUAUCAGGAGGAACACCAAUGGCGAAGGCAGAUCUCUGGGCCGUAACUGACGCUGAGGAGCGAAAGCAUGGGGAGCGAACAGG